UUCAAUCUCACUGACAGUACCGAUUGAUAUUUAGAAAAAUAAAAAUAAAUAAAAAUAAAAAAUAAAAAAGAAAAGAACGAAAGCUCAAAAGCCAAAACAGAGAGGUGCCUAUAAAUGCAACCCUUCAGAGGGCAACAAGAAGUAACGCCUCCAUCUUUCUCUCUCUGCAACACCUAUGGCCUCAGAACAGCUCGACGCCAUCUUCUUCUCUCUCGUCUCUGAAGAAGUAGAAACCCCCCACUUCUCGGACGAGGCAUAUGCAGAAGCCCUGCAAUUCCAAGAAGUCAUCUUCUCUUCAAUCAUCUCUUUUCUCUCUACAACAACAUCUCCUCCCUCUCUCUCUAUAGCAGGCGCCUCCUCCUCCUCCACAGAAGAAACCACCCUCUCUCUCUCUGCAAACCCAACAGUCGCGAACACAGAAAUAGUAGCCGCCAUUGCACCAGUAGCAAGGUCUUCCUCCUCUGGUUUCUUCUGUGGAAUAUGCAUGGAUCACAAGACUCAUGAGGAAACCUUCUUAAACCAAGGUUGCUCUCACAGGUACUGCAAUGAAUGCAUGGAAAUGCAUAUUGCUGCGAAACUGCGGGAGAAUUUCGCCAUUAUUGGGUGCCCUAGUCCUCGCUGCAAGCAGGUUUUAGACAGCGAAAGUUGCAGGUCCUUCAUUCCAGACAGGAUUUUUGAGAGAUGGGAGGGUGCACUAUCAGAGGCCGCAAUAUUGGGGAUCAAUAAGUCCUUUUGUCCAUUUAUGGACUGUUCUGGGAUUUUGGAAAUUGAUGAGGGCAUACUAACUCAAAUAAGAGAGAGUGAGUGCCCAUAUUGCAGAAGACUGUUUUGUGCUAAUUGCAGGGUGCCAUGGCAUUCUGGGCUGGACUGUGAUGAAUUUCAAAGGCUCAGAGGGAAUGAGGAGGGUAAAAAUGACAUUAUCCACAAUGAAAUUUUGUUCACUAAGCUUGCAGAGGGGAAUAAGUGGAAAAAGUGCCCUAAUUGUAAGUAUUAUGUGGAGAAACAAGCGGGUUGUAAUCAUCUGACUUGCAGAUGCAAGUCCGAAUUCUGCUAUUUGUGCGGAUCCCCGUGGAAUGCUAAUCAUACAUGUGGGUGAUGACCAAGAAAAAGGGUCUCUUCAAGGAAACAAGCCUUGGCAUGAGAUUGGGAACAUGGUGUUGCCAUUCAUUUUUUCGAUUCGCAAAGCUCAGCCCAUUUCAAGCCAUGAGGAUCAAGUUCAUACAUCUUCCCAUUUGAUAGCUCUUCUCUUGCCAUGGGAAUCCGGCCAACCCAUUGAUCCUCUCAAGUGUAGAAGCUACACUUUGAUCCUACACUAUCACCAUGGGGACACAUGCCUAGACUUCAAUGACUGAAAGAACAUCUCAUAUUGCUGAUGGAACACCUCGUGGCCGACUCUCUCUCUCUUUUUCGGAUGGCAUUUUGCCGUAUCACUGCAAGAAUGAUAUAUAAGCUUCGAAAAUCUUUCAAAGUCGAUCUAUGACUUGGUCUAUGUCAUAAUAAAAUCCGAGGCAUUGAUUCGAAACCGUAACCCCCAAACCUCAACAUAUAAAUAGCCCUCUCAGUUCUAAUCUAGAGAUGAAUGAAGGGAGCCACAACCCCAAUUUUCUAAGGUCUAGUAUCAAUUCCAAUAUUACCUUCAUGUUCCCAUAUUGUUCUACAAUCAAAAUGCCCUGAACAUAGAAAAUCCAAACUGUCGUAAAACCCCUUCUUUUAGGCAUAGUUUCCCUUUUUUGCCAUAGAAUUUCUAUUUUAAUCCAAGGUCCCUUUCCUGAACUCUACAAAUGAUUAGGACCCUUUUUUUCUCAGUUAUCACUUAGACUAGGAGACCAAGAUCUUAUAAACUCCACCAUAUAUCCUUCAUAUACAGUUAUAUCUAACCCUACAGCUCUCCAAUCCUAGUCAAAUACCUCAAGACCUCAAUCAAAUAUUCUCUUAUCAUGAUCUUAGGGAUCGACCAUGAUCAAAUCAAACUAUUUCAAUAUGUUCUUAGGGUUGGUAUGAUCACGAAGAGUUCGCAUUUCCCCUCUUUUCUUUUGUUCUUUUGGAAAAAGCAGGUGAAACGGGGCAAAAUAAUGAGAGGGAUAAAACAUUGUACCGAAUAGAAAAUAAGAGUUUCAACCUAUAAUAUUCCAAAUGUGAAGGAUUCGUUAUCACAAGGCAAUAUUUGGUCCCUACAAUGUAAAACAUGUGCAUUUAUAUUGUCCAAGAAAAUUUGUCCUCGGGGAUGCAAGGAAGUAGUGAAUUAUGUAAAUUAUCUUGCUAAUGUAAAUACACAAGUAUUGUAAGAUUUAGAGCACCCGAGUCACCUUGAUGGACUCCAUGUUUCACCAAAAAUAUUCUUGUAUUUUUUAAAAUUAGUGGGUGAAAUGGAGCAAAAUAGGAAGUAUGAUAAAACUUUUCUUGUGAACUGAAAUAAGAACUUCAAUCUCUUUAUUUCCAGGCACGAAUA